AUUGAACGCUGGCGGCAGGCUUAACACAUACAAGUCGAGCGGAGAUGAGGUGCUUGCACCUAUCUUAGCGGCGGACGGGUGAGUAAUGCUUAGGAAUCUGCCUAUUAGUGGGGGACAACAUUCCGAAAGGAAUGCUAAUACCGCAUACGCCCUACGGGGGAAAGUAGGGGAUCUUCGGACCUUGCGCUAAUAGAUGAGCCUAAGUCGGAUUAGCUAGUUGGUGGGGUAAAGGCCUACCAAGGCGACGAUCUGUAGCGGGUCUGAGAGGAUGAUCCGCCACACUGGGACUGAGACGCGGCCCAGACUCCUACGGGAGGCAGCAGUGGGGAAUAUUGGACAAUGGGCGGAAGCCUGAUCCAGCCAUGCCGCGUGUGUGAAGAAGGCCUUUUGGUUGUAAAGCACUUUAAGCGAGGAGGAGGCUACCUGGAUUAAUACUCUAGGAUAGUGGACGUUACUCGCAGAAUAAGCACCGGCUAACUCUGUGCCAGCCGCCGCGGUAAUAC
rnacentral:rRNA from 1 species